CUUGACGACCAUAGAGCGUUGGAACCACCUGAUCCCAUCCCGAACUCAGUAGUGAAACGAUGCAUCGCCGAUGGUAGUGUGGGGUU
rnacentral:rRNA from 1 species